rnacentral:misc_RNA from 1 species
GCAAACUUGGUCAUUUAGAGGAAGUAAAAGUCGUAACAAGGUCUCCGUAGGUGAACCUGCGGAGGGAUCAUUUAUGAAUCUCAAGGCCGGUGUGCUCUUUGCUUUGCCAUAGGGCGCCUGGGCUUGCCUUCUUUCAAACCUGUGGGCAGAGAUGUGGAUUGGCGACCCCUCAAGGGCCGCCUCUUCAAUGCAGCCAAGCCUUUUGUGUCUGAGUUGAUGAAAUUCCUUUAAAACUUUCAACAACGGAUCUCUUGGCUCUUGCAUCGAUGAAGAACGCAGC